rnacentral:rRNA from 1 species
UACGGGAGGCAGCAGUAGGGAAUCUUCGGCAAUGGACGAAAGUCUGACCGAGCAACGCCGCGUGAGUGAAGAAGGUUUUCGGAUCGUAAAACUCUGUUGUUAGAGAAGAACAAGGAUGAGAGUAAAAUGUUCAUCCCUUGACGGUAUCUAACCAGAAAGCCACGGCUAACUACGUGCCAGCAGCCGCGGUAAUACGUAGGUGGCAAGCGUUGUCCGGAUUUAUUGGGCGUAAAGCGAGCGCAGGCGGUUUCUUAAGUCUGAUGUGAAAGCCCCCGGCUCAACCGGGGAGGGUCAUUGGAAACUGGGAGACUUGAGUGCAGAAGAGGAGAGUGGAAUUCCAUGUGUAGCGGUGAAAUGCGUAGAUAUAUGGAGGAACACCAGUGGCGAAGGCGGCUCUCUGGUCUGUAACUGACGCUGAGGCUCGAAAGCGUGGGGAGCGAACAGGAUUAGAUACCCUGGUAGUCCACGCCGUAAACGAUGAGUGCUAAGUGUUGGAGGGUUUCCGCCCUUCAGUGCUGCAGCAAACGCAUUAAGCACUCCGCCCUGGGGAGUACGACCGCAAGG